CUAGUACUGCUAGUGAAGCGGGAAAGCUCAAUUUAAAAUCUGAUGGUCUUUGGCCGUCCGAGUUGUAAUCUAGAGAAGUGUUACCCGUGCCGGACCGUGUAUAAGUCUCCUGGAAUGGAGCGUCAUAGAGGGUGAGAAUCCCGUCUUUGACACGGACUACCGGUGCUUUUGUGGUGCGCUCUCAAAGAGUCGAGUUGUUUGGGAAUGCAGCUCAAAAUGGGUGGUAAAUUCCAUCUAAAGCUAAAUAUUGGCGAGAGACCGAUAGCGAACAAGUACCGUGAGGGAAAGAUGAAAAGAACUUUGGAAAGAGAGUUAAACAGUACGUGAAAUUGCUGAAAGGGAAACGCUUGAAGUCAGUCGCGUUGGCCGGAAAUCAACCCUGCUUUUGCUGGGCGUACUUUCUGGCUGACGGGCCAACAUCAGUUUUGAUCGGUGGAAAAAGUCUAGGGGAAUGUGGCAUCUUCGGAUGUGUUAUAGCCCUUGGUCGUAUACAUCGGUUGGGACUGAGGAACUCAGCACGCCGCAAGGCCGGGUCUUUGACCACGUUCGUGCUUAGGAUGUUGGCAUAAUGGCUUUAAUCGACCCGU
rnacentral:rRNA from 1 species